GAUGAAGAACGCAGCGAAAUGCGAUAAGUAAUGUGAAUUGCAGAAUUCAGUGAAUCAUCGAAUCUUUGAACGCACCUUGCACUCCUUGGUAUUCCGAGGAGUACGCCUGUUCGAGUGUUAUGAAGCUCUCAAAACGCAAUUGGCUUAAAACCUGAUUGUUGUUUUGGAUUUGAACUUUGCCGUGUUAUAACGGCUGGUUUUAAAAGUAUUAGCUGGUACUAGAACGAAUUGGUUCUACUCAACGUGAUAAUUAUCUGAUCGUUGAGGACAUUCCUUUCACGAGGAAUGGCCAUAGUAAAUUCAAUGGACUGCUUCUAAUCUGGCUUUAAUUCUUUAUUGGAUUAACCACUUUUCAAAUCUGACCUCGAAUCAGGUGGGACUACCCGCUGAACUUAAGCAUAUCAAUAAGCGAAGGA
rnacentral:misc_RNA from 1 species